rnacentral:rRNA from 1 species
UAUUGCCCAAUGGGCGGAAGCCUGAUGCAGCAACGCCGCGUGCGGGAUGACGGCCUUCGGGUUGUAAACCGCUUUCGCCUGUGACGAAGCGUGAGUGACGGUAAUGGGUAAAGAAGCACCGGCUAACUACGUGCCAGCAGCCGCGGUGAUACGUAGGGUGCGAGCGUUGUCCGGAUUUAUUGGGCGUAAAGGGCUCGUAGGUGGUUGAUCGCGUCGGAAGUGUAAUCUUGGGGCUUAACCCUGAGCGUGCUUUCGAUACGGGUUGACUUGAGGAAGGUAGGGGAGAAUGGAAUUCCUGGUGGAGCGGUGGAAUGCGCAGAUAUCAGGAGGCAACACCAGUGGCGAAGGCGGUUCUCUGGGCCUUUCCUGACGCGAGGAGCGAAA